rnacentral:rRNA from 1 species
UACGUAGGGUGCAGGCGUUAAUCGGAAUUACUGGGCGUAAAGCGUGCGCAGGCGGUUUUGUAAGCCAGAUGUGAAAUCCCCGGGCUUAACCUGGGAAUGGCAUUUGGGACUGCAAGGCUCGAGUGCGGCAGAGGAGACUGGAAUUCCUGGUGUAGCAGUGAAAUGCGUAGAUAUCAGGAGGAAUACCGAUGGCGAAGGCAGGUCUCUGGGCUGACACUGACGCUCAUGCACGAAAGCGUGGGGAGCAAACAGG